UAGGGAAUCUUCGGCAAUGGGGGGAACCCUGACCGAGCAACGCCGCGUGAGUGAAGAAGGUUUUCGGAUCGUAAAGCUCUGUUGUUAAGGAAGAACGAGUGUGAGAAUGGAAAGUUCAUGCUGUGACGGUACUUAACCAGAAAGGGACGGCUAACUACGUGCCAGCAGCCGCGGUAAUACGUAGGUCCCGAGCGUUGUCCGGAUUUAUUGGGCGUAAAGCGAGCGCAGGCGGUUAGAAAAGUCUGAAGUGAAAGGCAGUGGCUCAACCAUUGUAGGCUUUGGAAACUGUUUAACUUGAGUGCAGAAGGGGAGAGGGGAAUUCCAUGUGUAGCGGUGAAAUGCGUAGAUAUAUGGAGGAACACCGGUGGCGAAAGCGGCUCUCUGGUCUGUAACUGACGCUGAGGCUCGAAAGCGUGGGGAGCGAACAGG
rnacentral:rRNA from 2 species